ensembl:lncRNA
GCAGGGUCUGUGUGAUGCAUAGACCUUGGAUGUGCUGAGCUGUGGGAGUUGGAGCAGCCUGCAUAGGAACCUCUCAGCUGCACUGGCUGACCCAGACCCUGACCUCAGUGAUAAGGUCCGGGGCUUUUUUUAUCAAAAACAUUCUCUUCUCCACUGAAUGUAAUAAGAGAGAUCUACAACAAGUUUAGCUAAAAGUCUGGAGUCUGACUUCAUGUACCUUAAACUGGGGCUCCCGAGCGGUCUAAGGCAUUGGAUCUGUGCUUGAGGCGUAAACAAGAAUUUGUUCUUAACUCACUUGCCUAGUUAAAUAAAGAUGAGACUAAUGAAUGAUUUUCAGAAGGAAGUGACAAUCUUUUGGAUUCGCC